rnacentral:rRNA from 1 species
GUCUAUGGCCAUGCCACCUUGAACAAGCCGGAUCCCGUCUGAUCUCAGAAGCUAAGCAGGAUCGGGCCUGGUUAGUACUUGGAUGGAAGACCACCAGGAAGACCAGGUGCUGUAGGCA